GUGGGGAAUAUUGGACAAUGGGCGAAAGCCUGAUCCAGCCAUGCCGCGUGUGUGAAGAAGGUCUUCGGAUUGUAAAGCACUUUAAGUUGGGAGGAAGGGCAGUAAGUUAAUACCUUGCUGUUUUGACGUUACCAACAGAAUAAGCACCGGCUAACUUCGUGCCAGCAGCCGCGGUAAUACGAAGGGUGCAAGCGUUAAUCGGAAUUACUGGGCGUAAAGCGUGCGUAGGCGGGUUUGUAAGUUAGGAGUGAAAGUCCAGGGCUCAACCUUGGAAUUGCUCUUAAAAAUGUAAGGCUCGAAGCUCGGAGAGGAUAGCGGAAUUUCCAGUGUAGCAGUGAAAUGCGUAGAUAUUGGAAGGAACACCAGUGGCGUAAGCGGCUAUCUGGACGAGUAAUGACGCUGAGGCACGAAAGCGUGGGGAUCAAACAGGAUUAGAAACCCGUGUAGUCC
rnacentral:rRNA from 1 species